rnacentral:rRNA from 1 species
UACGUAGGGGGCGAGCGUUGUCCGGAUUUACUGGGCGUAAAGCGCGCGUAGGCGGGAGGUGAAGUCCGGUGGGAAAGCCCACGGCUCAACCGUGGAAGAACGCUGGAAACUCACCUCUUGAGGGCGGCAGAGGGAAGUGGAAUUGCUGGUGUAGCGGUGAAAUGCGUAGAUAUCAGCAGGAACACCCGUGGCGAAGGCGGCUUCCUGGGCCGCCCCUGACGCUGAGGCGCGAAAGCGUGGGGAGCGAACGGG